rnacentral:lncRNA from 1 species
CCUGGGGCUGCAGCCCAAGGCUCCCCAGCAGAAGCGCUGCCAUCCUAACCCCCUCCUGAGCAGAGGAUUCAAGGCACCCGCAGAAAAGAGGGAAGGAAACAGGCCCAGAAUCAUCCACAGAUGCAAAGUAAACUACUGCCAGUCAUAUUAAACCCUGCUUUCCUGCAUUGAUCCAACAGCUAAGGUCAACUCAUUGCUUGCUUCAGCUGGGAAUCUGUUAUGUGUAUUUCUGUUAAGCAAGCUCUGCUUCUGAUUGCUCUAGAAGCUGGCGUGCAUCCCCGGUCCUGGAGUUCCACCGAAGACUUCAAGAUUCUUCCAGAAAAGUCCUUCCUGGGUUUGAGCAAGUUCCUGCCCCUGAAACCAGAGCCUAACCCCUGGACCAAAGCCUAUAUCCAUGCCCUCUGGGAGACCGGCAUCAGCUCUGGAGGCUUGUGGGUUCCAGGGCACUUGGCAAAAGGCUUGCUCUGUCCUCAGGCUUAGAGUUUGACAGGGCCACUAAUGCUUUGGGAGGAAAUGAAUUACUGCAAGAUGGGAGACCAUCUCAACCACUGCUCAUUUCCAACCCUGGGAGCUGGAAUUGCAUCCCAGGAGGGAAGAGGCAAAAUGCCAUUAUUUGUGGGACCUGAAAUGGGCUGGCUAGGUGAGUGGAGAGGAGGAGAUGGAGCCCUUGGGGUCAGGGCAGGGGUCCUGGCAAGCUGUGAGCUGGCUAAGGCGCUGGAUUCUCCUGGGAUCUGGGGUCGGGGUCUAGGUCUAGACUGAGAUAACCAAGGCUUCAAGACAGGCAGUUCAAUGCAACCCCCAACACACACACACACAUACACAUGCCAGCCAGGAAUCACAGUCACUUCUUCCCAGAGUCCCACAGGAAUUUUUACCCACUGAAUUUGGCCACGUAUCAUGAACUGCCUUAAGCUUUCUCUACCUGUUAAAUCUCCGGUGUAUGUGGGGUGUGUGUGUGUGUGUGUGUGUGUGUUUAUGUUUGUGUGUACAAGGAGGGGUGUCUGAUCUCAUUAACUCAGAAGCUCCCCAAGGAUAGAGACCUUGGAUCUCACACCUCCCUCAGUUCAGAGCCUGGCAUACAGUAGGCAUCAAAGUCAUUGUGGGUUUGGUCUGGCCAAGUUAUCGCAAGAGUCCUUUCCAGCUCGCUGGCUCAAUCUGCCUCUUCCUGCCCUUUGAUGGUGGAAGGACCUUUGGGGGAACCAGGAGGGAGGCGGGGAAUGAAGAGGAAGAAGGAUAGAGGAGGCUGGAGGGAAGCAAGGAGGGCUGGGGGUAGGAGGCUGAGCCUGGCUUCCCUGAAGCUGAGUGAGGUUGGGUGGAGGCACAGACAUUCAGAAAGAGCUUGAGGCAGAGAGUAAGAGUGGCGGUAGCAACAGAUCCAUACAUCACCAGAUGCCAGAAUCCUGGGAAGUUCAUGCAUCUUCCCAGAACGUCUCCCCAGAGAAACCCAUAGAAGAGGGUCUUCAUUCCCUUUCUAAUUAAGGAUCGGCUGUGAUGCGCUCAGCCACACAAAGGCGAGUUGCAGUGACGAACACGUUUAAUGUCAUUAAAAAUAAUGAAAUUACACAGUCAUUUCUUACACCCAGCCUGGACUUUCUUCAACGCUUCCCUUCAAAAUGAAACAUUACAAAGACAUCAGGGAGUUGGAGUGAGCCUGUGGACAGAAACUUCCUUUUAACUGCCACUCUUGGCAGAUGGCUGUAAUGGGCUUCCCAACCGAUUCUAAAUUUUCUCGCUAUGUUAUAUGCAUAGUGAAAAUGCAUAAAGCCUCCGAUCUGAAUGGCCCCUUCCUUUCUAACAACCGAAUGUGCUCUCGCUGACAUCCUCUUAUUGUCCACUGAAGAGGGAAUAAUCACUAGCCCCAUUUUACAUACAUGAUGAUUUGUAACACUAGUAUUCCUGGAACGCUCAGCAGACCCCGGGCCCUGAGCUUUUCAUACAUUGUCGUUUACACCCCCAUCAACCUCUGAGGCCCAGCUGGUAAAGAAUCUGCCUACAAUGCGGGAGACCUGGGUUCGAUCCCUGGGUUGGGAAGAUCCCUUGGAGAAGGGAAAGGCUGCCCACUCCAGUGCUCUGGCCUGGAGAAUCCCAUGGACUGUAUAGUCCUCGGGGUCGCAGAGAGUCAGACACGACUGAGCGGCUUUCACUUUAGGACUUCCCCGGUGGCUCAGAGGGUAAAGCGUCUGCCUACAGUGCGGGAGACCGGGGUUCGAUCCCUGGGUUGGGAAGAUCCCCUGGAGAAGGAAAUGGCAACCCACUCCAGUACUCUUGCCUGGAAAAUGCCAUGGACUGAGGAGCCUGGUAGGCUACAGUCCACGGUGUCGCAAAGAGUCGGACACAACUGAGCAACUUCACUUUCACUUUCAACCUCUGAAGUCUUAGCCAGGACCCAAAACUGGACUAAGAACAGGUGUUUAAAUACUGUGUUAUAUCAUCCCCAGCUGCAAUGCUGGGUGCUGGGGAUACAGUGAUGAGUGAGACAGGACCCUGCCCUGGAAGGGACAAUGUCAUAAUGGGAACACAGUCUAAACAUUCAAUGAACAUGACAACUUCAGAUGGAGAUCUGAGCCAGGGAGAGAUUAAAACAGGGUGAUAUGAUCAAGAGUAUGUUAGUGGGUGUGGUGAGGGGAGCAAAUAAGAAAACUGGGAUUAACUGAUACACUGAUACACACUAUUAUAUAUAAAAUAAAUAAACAACAAGGACCUACUGUAUAGCACAGAGAACUAUAUUCAUUAUCUUGUAAUAACCUAUAAUGGAACUGAAUCACUUUGCUCUACACCCAAAACAUUAUAAAUCAACUGUACUUCAAUUUGGGACUUCCCAGUUGGCACUAAUGGUAAAGAACCCACCUGCCAAUGCAGGAGACAUAAGAGAUGCACAUUUGAUCUCUGGGUCUGGAAGAUCUCCUGGAGAGGGGCAUGGAGACCCACUCUAAUAUUCUUGGCUGGAGAAUCCCAUGGACAGAGGAGCCUGUGGGCUACAGUCCAUAGGGUCACAAAGAGUCGGACACAACUAGAGUAACUUAGCAGGCAUGUACCCAUACUUCAUAAAAAAAAAAAUGAACAAUGAGAAAAGAAAGCUUAUGUAGCAAGUGAUAGAGGAAUUAGAGGUCUCCCUGAGGAGGCGACAUUUAAACUGAGAUAAAUGACAAGUAGAAUCCAGUUGCAGGAAUAUAGGGCAGAGCAUUUCAGACAGAAGAGAACACAAGGAUCUUAAAAUGUUCAUAUUAUUUGUGAUUCCUGCCUAAAUUCUCAGUAAUUCCUGCCUAAAUAUCUAUUGUAAAACAAUAAUUCUUUCUCCCCACUUCUUGUUUUUACAUGAAGUAAGUUUCUCAGAGCUCUUUUAACAAAUUUGUCUUCUAACAAAUCAAAUGUUGCUUUGGGGGUGGAGGGGCUUCCCUGGUGGCUCAGCUGGUAAAGAAUCUGCCUGCAAUGCAGGAGACCUGGGUUCCAUCCUUGGGUCGGGAAGAUCUCCUGGAGAAGAGAAUGGCAACCCACUACAGUAUUCUUGCCUGGAGGAUUCCAUGGACUGAGGAGGCUUGUGGGCUAUAGCCCACCGGGUCACAAAGAAUCAGAUACGACUGAAGCAACUUUGCAGGCACGCACACGUGGAGAGGCUGAAAAGUUUGAAUUCUAGAGGGCAGGCCUGGAGGCUAAAAACUCUUGGGCAGGAGCUGAUGCUUCAAGAACAGUAAUUCUUAAUACAGAAAAAGAUGUUCAUGGAGGCUUAUUUAUAAUAAUGAAAGCAAAUAGAAACGACCUAAAAUCCGACAGAAAAUAUCCAGUGCAUGACACAUGUGCUUGAUGAAACAUGAUACAGCCGUGAAAAAUAACUUCACAGGCUUCAGUUCUGGUGGAGAGGUACACGCGCUCUAUCUUUCCCACUAAAAACUCCAAUAGAAAAGACGGAAUAGAUAUCAAAACAAAAGCAAAUCAUAAUAAGCAGAGCAGAGACAGAAAUCAAAAUUUGAAGAAACACAAAUAUGGCAAUGAAUGUCCUGGGGUCACCCCCUGCCCCUGUAUUUUCCGGUUUAGACACUAAGGCUGCCAAACUGCAACAGAUGUGAACAGAGUAUAAGUUCCAAGAGAAAUCCCCUCUUUCUGGGCAGAGACUCAGCAAGGCCUCCCCUGCCAUGCAGAGUAUGGG